rnacentral:lncRNA from 1 species
UUCAGAACAAACAAUAUCAUGGCAGCUUCACCCAAGUCUUUUAUAUUCAUUUGCCGACCAAAAAAGUCCAUAGCUUCGAAGCAGGUAUCUCUGUAUCUUAGCUUACUAAUGCCACUACGAAGCAUAAAUGAACGCAUAACAAGGAGGUGCAUCAUAUAGUCAGAUAAUUUCUUACUAAUUUGUGGGUAUUUUCUUCCAGUACUGCCCGGAUAUCUUCUUCCAUGAUAAUGGAAAAGAAUAUCCGUAGCAAUAUGCCAAAGGAGAAGGCUGUGGGUAAAUUCUACCUUGUUUAUGCUCCAUUGAAUUUCGUCAUAGAUAUUAUGGUUAUCGUUAGAGCCUUUAUCUCUGAGCACGUCGGAAGCUCCUUUCUUAGCCAAACGUGAGAGACAUGAGAACUUGAACUGUCCUUGGUCAUAUUUUAGACGCUUUUGUUGGAGACGAGAG